rnacentral:rRNA from 1 species
UACGGAGGGGGCUAGCGUUGUUCGGAAUUACUGGGCGUAAAGCGCGCGUAGGCGGACCUGCAAGUCGGGGGGUGAAAGCCCGAGGCUCAACCUCGGAACUGCCUUCGAUACUGCGGGUCUCGAGUCCGGGAGAGGUGAGUGGAAUUCCUAGUGUAGAGGUGAAAUUCGUAGAUAUUAGGAAGAACACCAGUGGCGAAGGCGGCUCACUGGCCCGGUACUGACGCUGAGGCG